CCCUACGGGGCGCAGCAGGCGCGAAAACUUCACACUGUGCGAAAGCGCGAUGAGGGAAUCCCAAGUGUUUGCUCGUAAGAGUAAACUGUU
rnacentral:rRNA from 1 species